rnacentral:lncRNA from 10 species
ACCCUUCCUUACCUCGUAAACCGACAGACCUGGGUUUCGCCGCUGCUCCUGUUCCUCGAGCAGCCUUCAAGCAGUGGAAAUUACGGAGAAAUGAACAUUCUGAAAGCGCCUAGUAAAUGGUGGGGAAGUGAAGACACUGGAAGGUGAUAUGGCCUUUCCAAAGUGGCAUGGCUGAUUGAUGACAGACCACCAUUGGAAACAAGGUGGUUUGACUCCAGAGCCCGCACCCUCCACCACAACG